GUUUAAUAUUCUAAUAGCUUCCUCAUUCUCUCUCUACACUAAACCUCCGAUUUUUCCAUUGCUACUUCGCGCAUUCCACAGGAAAGGGUAUAAUUCUGGGGCUUCCAUGACAUGUUCUGGUUGUCAAAGAAGUGGUAUGAGUAUAUCUAUGAGGCAUUUGGGUGCUAAUUAGAUUCAACAAAUGAAACAUCCUUGCAGUGAAUAUAAGGAAGUGGUAUGAAUAUUUCUAUGAAUAUUCCUAACACUGCAAUUUUUUAUAGGAUGAACUAGAGGUGGCCCUAACAGAUUUAAAAGCCAUUGUGCUGCAGCAUUAGGAAUUAAAGAUUAAGUUGGAAAUAUAUAGAGAUAAUGAUAUGGAUGCCUUUGAAACAAUGAAGGAAGCAAUUGAAGUUGCUCAUACAUCAGCUAACAAUAUUUUCACUCUGAAGUAAUGGUGUUCAAACAACUUCUCUAAGGCUAAGGAACACCUUGAAAAUAUGUACAAGGAGGUCAGUCAUUUCAGUUUAAUGCUUCAAUCUGCAAGCAUCGUGCCUAAUUUUUAACCAACUAUUAGGCUUCUUUUGGUUCUAAAAUAGUUACAACAAAUGGAUUGAUAUAUGUUUUUUUGGAUGGCCUUUAUAACUUGGUCAGUCAAGUUGUUUACUUUGUAUCUCCAUGCAGAUUGGUAGAACAGAUGAUUUGACUAUUUGGAGAUGGCACCUCUUCCUUCCAAAGCAGUAGCUGAAUGAAUAUUAUUUGGCCAUUAAUACUCUUACCAUUUGCAUGCUAGAACUAUGUAAAUAAUAGUAACUUAAGACAUGAAAAUCACUAUUUUAUUUAAUUCUAUACUUAUGUUGUUUCAUAGUUUUGAUUAUGAUCUUUAAUGAGUUUCAGACAAGGAGUAAUAUACUUAGUAUUCAAUCUUAACAGCGUUUGAACUGAGUUUUCAUAAAUCAGACUGUAAUGGCAAAACUUUGAUAAGGUUAAAUGGUAUGCAUAUCAUGUAGCCAAUUUUGAGGUACUUUUCAUACAACUUUUUCAUUUUUCUCCUGCAAUAUAAUAUUGGUUUAGUAAUCUUUUUUACUUUAAUCCCACAUUUUGGGUUAGAGCUUAUAAUGUCGGAACAUUUAGACAGUUUAAUACAUUCAUUAGCACAUUCAAUGAUAGUACCAUGUACCAGUAUAAUGAUAUAUUGUAUUUUAAAUACAUGACUGAUAGCAGUGACUAUGACAGUUAAUAUUGUAUAUUGAAUUACUGCUUCUUUCAGCUUCCUUCCUACUACUUUUCUAAGGCUAGAUUUGACAGCAUCUGCUUUUUGGGAAACUCGUCAUUCUAGGUUCAAGUGUUCAUUAAAUGCCAACUGCUAACUUUUGCAAAACUUCAUCCUUCGGACAGUUUAUGUAUGUUUUCAAACAUGUUUAUGCUAUAAGGGAGUUUGAUAUUGGAAUUGAACCAUGUAGUCCUCUUUGUUGUGGUUUUUUUAGUGGCAAAGGUGUUAUGGAAAAUGUUCCAGCAGUUAGCACUCAGGAUAACAUUCCAGCACUGUUUGUUUUUUCUGCAUGUCAUGGAACUAUUAAAGAAUGUGAUUGUACAAACUCGAUUAUAUGCAUACUGUUUGAUUUUGAUUGAGAAUGAAAAUCAUCAUCAUCAUCAAAUACUUAUAUUUAAUCUCUUUUCCAGCUUUUGACUAAUUGUGUAGUUAAUUAGAUAUCUAACACAGAUAAGUCUGGA